rnacentral:rRNA from 1 species
UACGGGGGGGGCAAGCGUUGUUCGGAAUUACUGGGCGUAAAGGGCUCGUAGGCGGCCAACUAAGUCAGACGUGAAAUCCCUCGGCUUAACCGGGGAACUGCGUCUGAUACUGGAUGGCUUGAGUGUGGGAGAGGGAUGCGGAAUUCCAGGUGUAGCGGUGAAAUGCGUAGAUAUCUGGAGGAACACCGGUGGCGAAGGCGGCAUCCUGGACCGGCAUUGACGCUGAGGCGCGAAAGCCAGGGGAGCAAACGAG